rnacentral:lncRNA from 1 species
UAUGUUAAGUUCCAAUUUGGGUAUUAAUUAAUGUGAUUAUAUUAACAAAUUUAUAUGUUGCAUAUAUAUGUGCUGCCGGCCAUCGAGCCGGCUUUUUUUUCCAGGUUUUGGAAACCUCCCCCGUGCAGGGGAGGUUCUGCCGAAAUUUUCUACUUAUAGUGUUGUUUUUUUUUGUUUUGCAGAGCAGGACCUGUCGAGGGGACUUAUGGCCACCCGAGUACGCAACACACGUGGCAGCGGGUGGCAGGUUAGUCCUUAUGGCCAACCGAGUACGCAACACACGUGGCCUGGUGCCCAUCCGCAGCACGGCCACCCUGGGUUGUCCGGCAGCCCUCCUCCGCGCCCCAGAUACUCGUACCCGUACCAGUCGGUGACAGAGUAGGCCAUGUGGGCGCCAUGGGCAGGUGGGAGCUCUCCACACCCUGGGGGGCACUCACCCUGGUCGGCGUGGCCAGAUGGGGGCUCGGGACACGACGGAGGCCAUGGCGACGACGGGUCAGAGUCACAACACUAGGGGUGAGGCGCUAGCUAGCGACUUCGAGUAGUGAUAUUGAUGUAGAUUUGUGGUUUAUGUUAUGAACUUGUGGCAACUUUAUGUUAUAUUUGUCAUAUAUAUAUGUGGAUUUGUGAUAUCUGUGGACUUCAAUAUGUUUCAUGUGUGAUUUAUAUGUGGAUUUGUGAUAUAGACAUGUGGAUUUGUGAUAUGUGGCUGUGCAUGUAAAAAACAGGGAAAAAAACAAAAAAAAAUUCUAGCUUUACCGAGAACCAGAAUACCAGCACUCGGCAAAGAUGGAAAGCUGAUCACCAGAAUACCAGCUUUGCCGAGAGCCAGCCUGGUAGGCUCUCGGCAAAGUUUUUUUUAAAAAAAAAUUAAAAAGUCUUUGCCGAGAGCCUUCUAGCCCGGCUCUCGGCAAAGACGACGUCAACUUUAACGUUUCUUGACGGCGCCGUGGGCUUUGCCGAGGGCG